ensembl:lncRNA
GCGGCAGCACCAUCGGACGGCAGCACCAUCUGACGGCAGAACCAUCUGACGGCAGAACCAUCUGACGGCAUCACCAUCGGAAGGCAGCACCAUCGGAAGGCAGCACCAUCGGACGGCAGCACCAUCGAAAGGCAGCACCAUCGAAAGGCAGCACCAUCGGAAGGCAGCAUCAUCGUCGGCAGCACCAUCGGACGGCAGCACCAUCGAAAGGCAGCACCAUCUGACGGCAGCACCAUCGGACGGCAGCACCAUCUGACGGCAGAACCAUCUGACGGCAUCACCAUCUGACGGCAGCACCAUCUGACGGCAGAACCAUCUGACGGCAUCACCAUUGGACGGCAGCACCAUCGGAAGGCAGCACCAUCGAAAGGCAGCACCAUCGGACGGCAGCACCAUCGGACGGCAGCACCAUCGGAAGGCAGCACCAUCGGAAGGCAGCACCAUCGGACGGCAGCACCAUCGGAAGGCAGCACCAUCGGAAGGCAGCAUCAUCGUCGGCAGCACCAUCGGAAGGCAGCACCAUCGGACGGCAGCACCAUCGGAAGGCAGCACCAUCGGAAGGCAGCACCAUCGGAAGGCAGCACCAUCGAAAGGCAGCACCCUCGGAAGGCAGCAUCAUCGUCGGCAGCACCAUCGGAAGGCAGCACCAUCGGACGGCAGCACCAUCGGAAGGCAGCACCAUCUGACGGCAGCACCAUCGGACGGCAGCACCAUCUGACGGCAGAACCAUCUGACGGCAUCACCAUCUGACGGCAGCACCAUCGGAAGGGCAGCACCAUCGGACGGCAGCACCAUCGGAAGGCGGCACCAUCGGAAGGCAGCACCAUCUGACGGCAGCACCAUCGGAAGGCAGCACGAUCUGACGGCAUGACCAUCGGACGGCAACACCAUCGGAAGGCAGAACCAUCGGAAGGCAGCACCAUCUGACAUUAUUUGUAAAUUGAACACGGCACGCGUCCGUGUGCGCGCGUCCGCAGCAAAAAUAAACCUGUUUUUAGUAGCAGAAUGUAUGCAUUUGUAUUUCUGUGUAUAUUGUGACAAUUUAACAUGGGGGUCCAAUGGAAAUUGAAUCGCUUUUAAAAGACAGUUAUUGGAACUUCAUUUUGACUGUUUGACUCACAGUAUUGAGUUCAUUAAACUUGUUGAAACUUACAAUUUGUUGAACAGGCUUAAAAACCUGAGUUGGAGGACUGAAAACAAUUACAGUAAGUUGUAAUUGUAUAACUCAUCAUGAUAAGUUGAAGUAAAUAACAAAACGAAGUUACUAUGACUUGUUGUUCAAAUAAGUUUUACAGUGAGGUAGUCACUACUGUUGCUAACACAUCCCGUUGGACCAGGAUUAUUUCUUGUAAUAAUUAAUUAACAUUUCUCCUAAUGUUACCCUGGUAACCGCUGGCACCGCAGACGGAUUUCUAGCAUGCACACGUUCCAUUGCGUUGACUCUUACUAUGAAAAUCUACGUACUUCCGGUUUAGCGGCUCGCUUCGUAUUUUAGUUUUAUGGGCAAAACCCCAAAAGGGAUUAACGGAGUAAAAAGUUGUGACUUUGUCUCGUUUUUUGUUUCUAACAGAGAAAACGACUGUCCACUUCCGUUUUACCGUUUUGGAUUUAAAACGAAAAACGAGAAAACGAGGGUUUUCGUUUUCUCGUUUUUACGGUAAAAGGGACUAUCAAAACGUACACGGACCAAAUAUGUUUCAGUGGCGUUGAUCAUGUCAUUUCGGUCAGUAGUGCCAUAUUAAACAUGUCUCUGUUAGUUCAGUCAUACAUAUGAUAUAACUAUGAUGUCAUCAUCAUGAUGCCCCAGUUAGUGGGGCAUCUUUUUUUUUUAAUUAUACAUUUUCUUUUGGUUUUUUUUCACGUACGGCAAUUCCACACUGCCACUACCAUCGGAAGGCAGCACCAUCGGACGGCAGCACCAUCGGAAGGCAGCUCCAUCGGAAGGCAGCACCAUCUGACGGGAGCCAUCGGACGGAAGCCAUCGGACGGCAGCGCGUAAAUCAAACAUCCGCACGAGUACGUCUUGCGGAAGCAAAUGUCCGUCUCACGGGAGAUAUUUGCUCGCUCGCGCAACGUGUACUUGGUUGCUCGCGAGGCUAAUCUCUGCUCGCGCUCGAAGAUUUUCUACUUGCUCAUUGUUGUUCUUUUUGACAGUAAGGGAGCGGAGCCAGUCAUUAUGGUAUCUCUACAUCUAAUUGGUUACAAACCCCGUCUUUUGAUUGGCUGGAGUUAUGCACUACUGGAGGUCGUUAUGGUUAAAAAAGUUAGUUAGUUAGUGGGGCAUCAUGUCAUUUCGGUCAGUAGUGCCAUAUUAAACAUGUCUCUGUUAGUGCACUCAUACAUAUGAUAUAACUAUGAUGUCAUCAUCAUGAUGCCCCAGUUAGUGGGGCAUCUUUUUUUUUUAUUAUACAUUUUCUUUUGUUAUUUUUUCACGCACGGCAGUUCCACACUGAUAUUAAUGUCGCAAAUAAGUUUGUGCGGCCCUCUCAUCAACGAGGCAGAGACAACUAAUCCCCGGAUUUAGUUAGUUUAGUUUGAUUUCGAUCCUAUUCGCACCAGUGAGAUGUCAUUUUCAGAAUUAUUUUUUCUAGUUCCCACAGCGGUUGCGAGCACUCAGGGCACACCCACCAUUAGGUAAUCAUGGCCGGGCAGUAAGAGCCAAAAGGCUAAUGACUGCUACUGUAGGCAUGCUUGGGAUCUCUCAUUGAAGUCAAUUAAAGUGAUGUGCAUAAGCUCUGCUUCACCACUCUGACUCCGAUAUGUGGGAUAUGUCCGAUGAAUUGGGCCUCAUUCCCCACCAGAUUCUAUGUUGAUUACUUUUGAUUGCAUUAAUGCAAAGAUGCUGAACCAAGUGGUUCAUAAAUAUGAAUACAUUUGUUAAAGUGAGGCUUAUUUACUCAUUCAAGACACGCAACCUGUGGCAAGGUAUGUAGUUCCCGGCAGAUCAUUUUACACUGUCACAUCUAACAAGGCAGACCCCUGGAAUUAAUAUGUGCUAAUUAUAAAAGAAUUUCCCGGGAGCACAAACUCUUAUUUGUAAAAAACACUAUGGUAUGAUAGUUUUAAACUAACAGUUUCUGAUAAAAACACGUGUUCGUGUGCGAUCUCUUCUACUUUAUUAAAGUGAAGAAAGAGAAUUAUAAAAAAGAUUUUUUAAAAGUUAUUUAUAUCUUAUUUUGAAAGCAUUUAAAUAUGGUCUUGGUGCCAUGACGUCAUCACCAAGCGACAAUAAGAAAAUGAGACGAAGCGGCAUUCAUUACUCUGUUGUCACGUCGAAAAAACCAGUAGGUAUGAAAUCCGACUGUUAUUUGCCGUGUAGCAUGUGUGCUAAUCUCUGGUGUUUGGCGCGUCGGUGGAAUAAUAUCAAAUGAAUGUUAUUUGGUUUGCCAAGUGAUUUGUAUUGUACUUACGGAUCUUUUCCAGCUCGAAAGCUAACGUUAACAUUAGUAGAACUAACUUAGGCAACUAAUUAUUUACCGUUAGCUAGCGUUGGCCUUUUAGCACACAGUUGUAGUUAACGUGAGUUUGUAAAAAGCAAAACGAACGAAUUUAUUUAAAUCUUCAAUGUGUGAGGUAUUUAGAAAACUGAGCAAAAUAAAUACAUUUUACCAUCGUUAUCAAACUGUACGUCACUUACGUCACAUUCAUUUAGUCAACUGUAUGAAUUUAACUAAACGAUGACUGACCAAAUGAGUUGUUAAAUGAUAUAACGUUACUUGUGCGGCCCAAUAAUAUUCCAAUCACUUAACGUUACUAAACGGUAUUACAAUCAUUUUGUAAUGAACUUGGUGAUACUUGUGUAACGUUAGACAUACGCACAGAAAGGGGAUGCGGCAAGUUUAGAACACAUACAUUUGUAAAAAUACCAAUUAAAACGUUCUAAAACUUAAUAGCUGGAUCUUUUAAAGACAACCGACUUUAAAAGUACAUAAGACAACUAAGGGAAAAAGUUGGAUCAUAUCAGAUGCUUUAGAACAGUUUUUGAGUUUAUAGGUGCCGAUGAGACACGGACUAUUUCUUUGUGUACAGCCUUUGGCAGUGCCAACACUAUGGACG